rnacentral:tRNA from 1 species
GGGCAGAUACCCAAGUGGUCAAAGGGAUCAGACUGUAAAUCUGACGGCUACGCCUUCGAAGGUUCAAGUCCUUCUCUGCCCA